CAGGAAUGUUACACAUUUAUUUUGAAUGGCAGAUCAGAGGGCAGUCCAAGGGAGGCUUCAACUGAGGCUUUUCCUGGAACUGGGACUACGUGCAGCCUGAGGUUGUUUCUAAUGGAGGACUUAAUUUCAGGCUCCUCACUUCAACAUGGCGGCCUCAAAACAACUUUAUCCAGAUGAGGACUCUUGUUCCGUGCAAUCCAACCAGUUGGCUCUCCAUUUCACUGGGAAGAACCAAAAUGUUCAUAAUGGCCUUAAGCUACACGGGACGCCAGAAACUUAAAUUGGACCAGCAGUAGCAUCAGUAUCACAGAGGCCCGAUAGAUGUGCCAAAUCUCAGGGCUGGACUCAGACUUCCGGAACCAGAUUCUUCAUUUGACAAGGUCUCCGGGUCAUUGGUAAUGCACGUUGAAGGUUGAGAAAUGCUGCUCUAGACUAGGAGUCAGCACAGUUCCUCACCAAAAGGCCAUAUAGUAAAUACUUAGGCUUCGCAGACCACA